UACGUAGGGGGGCUAGCGUUGUCCGGAUUUAUUGGGCGUAAAGAGCGUGUAGGCGGCCAGGUAGGUCCGGUGUGAAAACUCGAGGCUCAACCUCGAGACGCCGGUGGAAACCGUAAAGCUAGAGUCCGGAAGAGGAGAGUGGAAUUCCUGGUGUAGCGGUGAAAUGCGCAGAUAUCGGGAGGAACACCGGUGGCGAAGGCGGGUCUCUGGGGCCGAUACUGACGCUGAGGAGCGAAAGCGUGGGGAGCGAAGCAGG
rnacentral:rRNA from 1 species